rnacentral:ncRNA from 1 species
CUCCGGUUUCUUUCGGAGGAGGAUUAAAAGGGAAUCCUGUGUAAAUCAGGAACUAUCCCCGUAGCUGUAAGUUUCGGAUAUGGUUGUACCUCUUUAUGCCACUGUUGUUGGAAUCGACGGGAAGGCGUACGGCCGGGAACGAGUCAGAAGACCUGCCGGAUAGAAA